ACUUUUGCUUCUGGAUAAGGUUGUCAAAUGUUGCGGUUAAUUCUUCUGGAUCGAAAUCUAUAUCAUGCUUCGCUGCAUCUAUCUUUCGAAUGAGUUUUGUAACAGCACUUCUGUUCCCGGAUCGUAUCGACUUGAGCUUCUUUAAAUCCAUUGGUCACGGUACCAUAAAUGUGGAGGUUAAAAGUAUGAUAUUUUCGCUAAUAUAAACAAACACGUCUGUUCAGCCAUAACUUUUAAUAACAACUCAAAGAGCCCACGGCGACGUCACUGAAGUCGCCAACGUCGCCAAUGGUAAUGUACAAACUUAGGAACGUCGUAAUCCCGCG
rnacentral:lncRNA from 1 species